rnacentral:ncRNA from 1 species
UUAUUUUAAGAGUUUGAUGUUAGCUCGGUUAGAACGCGCUCUAGAGAUUUUAACACAUGCGAAUCGUACGAUUUUUAACAAUCGUGGUGUACAGGUGAGUAUUAAAAAGAAUGGACCUUGAAUUCUGAUUUAAGCUAUAAGCGAAAUACCAGAUAAGAACUUUAAUUCUGUACUAUUAUGGCAGAUAAAAGUUGAUAAAGGAAAUUCAGCAUAAUUUCGUGCCUUCCCAAUUAAGGGAUGUAACCUUUCAAAGGAGGGGAUUUCCGAUUCAAGACUAGCUUUUGUCAAUCAUAGUAGUUGGUGAGGUAAUUGCUUAACAAGCUUUGAUUGUAAUCAUUGCAUUUAUUUGAUGUUCUGAUCACAUUGGCUCUGAGACAACAGCCAAGUUAAACUUUUAGUUUAUCCAGCAGUGGAGAAUAUUAGUCAAUGACCGAAAGGUUGAACUAGUCUUCUAGAAGAGAUAAACUUGACUUUCGAGUUAAGAUUUCUCCAAUUAUUGAGUAAACUUGAUACUUAAUUUAUGGAAUUCUUGCCAAUUUCCGUGCCAGCAGCAGCGGUUAUACGGAUAGAAUUAGCGUUUAACAUAUUCAAAAGGCCUAAAACGUUUGUAGACCGAAAAUUAUUAAAUUUUCUAGAGUAUUAAUUUGGUGUAAGUAGAAUAGUUCAACAAGGGAUCAAAUCCUACAAUCUGAAUUAGACUGCUAAAAGUGCAGACAACUUACAAUAAAAUACUGACGUUGAGAAACGAAGGCUUAGGUCGCGAAAGAGAUUAGAUACCUCUGUAGUCUAAGCUGUAAACGAUUAUUGCUAACAGAAGUUUUUCUUUUUGAAAUUUGACUUUUGUUGUGUGAAGACUUUAAGCAAUAUGCCUGGGAAGUAAAAUCGCAAGAUUGAAACCCAAAACAUUAGACGGUCUUGAAAAUCCGCAGUGAAUCAUGUUAUUUAAUUAGUCAUUCCGCUAAAAAUCUUACCUUUAUUUGUAGCUUUUUUUUAAAAGUCAGGUAUUGCAUGGCUGUCUUUAGUUAAUGUCGUAAGAUGAGGUUAAUUCCCAUUAAUUAACGAAAACCCUUUUGGUAUAUAAAUUACCAGAAUUUAGUGAUAAACUAAAAAUAGGGAUUAAGACAAGUCAAUAUGAUCCAUAUAUAAAGGGCUAUAGACGUGAUAUAAAAUUUAACCCAAUCACUAAAAAGAUGAGAAUCUAAAAAAUGGUGAAAUGGUUAGAAGAUUGUACAGAUUAAAGCCUGUAAUUUGGCUUUAUGAAGGAGGAAUUGCGAGUAAUCACUAAUCAUUACGUAGUGGUGAAUUUUAUCUUCAAGAUGUACUAACUACUCGUCAAGCGUUGAAAGUACUAGUUUCUCGAAGAUUUUGCCUAAUGGUGAAAUCGAAAGGUACUGUGCGAUUAAUGUUAAGUCGAAAUAAGGUAACCGUAGUGGAAAUUGCGGUUGAAUAAUUAUCAUCAGGUUAAACCCCC